rnacentral:rRNA from 1 species
GACGAACGCUGGCGGCGUGCCUAAUACAUGCAAGUUGAGCGCUGAAGGUUGGUACUUGUACCAACUGGAUGAGCAGCGAACGGGUGAGUAACGCGUGGGUAAUCUGCCUUUGAGCGGGGGACAACAUUUGGAAACGAAUGCUAAUACCGCAUAAAAACUUUAAACACAAGUUUUAAGUUUGAAAGAUGCAAUUGCAUCACUCAAAGAUGAUCCCGCGUUGUAUUAGCUAGUUGGUGAGGUAAAGGCUCACCAAGGCGAUGAUACAUAGCCGACCUGAGAGGGUGAUCGGCCACAUUGGGACUGAGACACGGCCCAAACUCCUACGGGAGGCAGCAGUAGGGAAUCUUCGGCAAUGGACGAAAGUCUGACCGAGCAACGCCGCGUGAGUGAAGAAGGUUUUCGGAUCGUAAAACUCUGUUGGUAGAGAAGAACGUUGGUGAGAGUGGAAAGCUCAGCAAGUGACGGUAACUACCCAGAAAGGGACGGCUAACUACGU